AUAAAUGAAGUUUAUGAAAUUGUAUCCGUAUGAGAAUAUUUGCAAUUUCAAAAACAAAUCUCUUAAAAGUAAAUAACCUUCUUCAAAGUUGGAAUUGUACAUGAAAAUCACUAAAGGUAAAUGGUAAGUGCCAAAUUUUCACAUUGCAAUCGGCAAGCAGACUACAAUAGGACUCUAGCCAUAGUGCUUGUAUAAUUAGCAGCUAGAUAAGAUGAGCUCUAGCACAAGGAGGAAAAUUGAACAUACUUUUACAGCCUGAAUUUAUUCCUUAAACGUAAACAAGAUGCACAAACGUUACAGGAUCGGAUAGUACUAACACUAUCCUGCCUAAAAGAGGGAGAUAUUUGCUUCUAGCUCAAGCUCGAGAUAAUACAGCAAAUGCUUUUAUGAAGCACGGGAUGGCAUACCACGGCCUCUGCCUCUACCUCCAUAACCAUAACCAUACCCAUUUCCUCCAUUUCCACCGUAUCCUCCAUUUCCACCGUAUCCUCCAUAUCCUCCUCUUCCAUAAUACGAACCUCGAGAACGUCCACCACGUCCAGGACCACGACCACCACGGCCACCCCUGUAUCUUGAGAAGUCUCCAAAUGUCUGCACCCACCAAAAAAAAAAAAAGAUUAGCUCAUUGAAAAAGAACCAUAGCCAGGAAAGUAGUGCAUAAGAAUCAGAUAUACCUCAACGUCUAUCUUCCUUUGCUCAGAGAACCUGGUCCUUCCAUGAUUUGGGUCAUUAUCAAGUG
rnacentral:lncRNA from 1 species